UCCCUGUAUGUCGAUCCCCGUUUCGUCGCCCCAUCUUCCGUUAUUCGGGGAUGCGUUUCAGAAGUCCUCGGGCCUUGAGAAACUUCAAUGCGCCUCUGAACUCGGCUCUGAUGUUCGAGAUCGUGAUGUUUGACACUGGGGCUGCGUGACUGCGUUUCAAUUCUUUCGCAAUGUCGUCGGGGCGCAGUGUUGGGUCAUCCAGUACUAACUCCCUAAUGCGGUCUUUGAUAGCGGUCGCGGACUUCUC
rnacentral:misc_RNA from 1 species